rnacentral:rRNA from 1 species
GAUGAACGCUGACAGAAUGCUUAACACAUGCAAGUCAACUUGAAUUUAGGUUUAUAACUUAGGUUUGGGUGGCGGACGGGUGAGUAACGCGUAAAGAACUUGCCUCACAGCUAGGGACAACAUUUAGAAAUGAAUGCUAAUACCUAAUAUUAUGGUUAUAGGGCAUCCUAUAAUUAUGAAAGCUAAAUGCACUGUGAGAGAGCUUUGCGUCCCAUUAGCUAGUUGGAGAGGUAACAGCUCACCAAGGCGAUGAUGGGUAGCCGGCCUGAGAGGGUGAACGGCCACAAGGGGACUGAGACACGGCCCUUACUCCUACGGGAGGCAGCAGUGGGGAAUAUUGGACAAUGGACCGAGAGUCUGAUCCAGCAAUUCUGUGUGCACGAUGAAGUUUUUCGGAAUGUAAAGUGCUUUCAGUUGGGAAGAAAGAAAUGACGGUACCAACAGAAGAAGUGACGGCUAAAUACGUGCCAGCCGCCGCUGUAACAC